UUUGUACUCCUCGCGUUUCGC
rnacentral:miRNA from 1 species